GGGGGUGUAGUUAAAUAAAAAUAACAUUUAAUUUGCAAUUAAAAAAUACUAAAUAUAAAUAGUCUUCCUCA
rnacentral:tRNA from 1 species